rnacentral:rRNA from 1 species
AGAGUUCGAUCCUGGCUCAGGAUAAAUGCUAAUGGCAUGAUUAACACAUUCAAGUUAGACGAAAAACACGGGAAACGGUGUUUCCAGUGGUGGAUGGGUGAGUAACGCAUAAGAACCUGCCUUUAGGAGGGGAACAAUAGCUAGAAACGGCUACUAAUACCCCAUAGGCUGAGGAUCAAAAGGAGGAAUCCGCCCGAGGAGGGGCUCGUGUCUGAUUAGCUAGUUGGUCAGGCAAUAGCUUACCAAGGCGAUGAUCAGUAGCUGGUCCGAGAGGAUAAUCAGCCACACAGGGGCUGAGACACGACCCAGACUCCUACGGGAGGUAGCAGUGGGGAAUUUUCUGCAAUGGGCGAAAGCCUGAUGGAGCAAUGCCGCGUGGAGGUAGAAGGACCACGGGUCAUGAACUUCUUUUCUAUGAGAAUAAGCAAUGAUGGUAUCUAGGGAAUAAGCAUCGGCUAACUCUGUGCCAGCAGCCGCGUUAAUAUAGAGGAUGCAAGCGUUAUCCGGAAUAAUUGGGCGUAAAGCGUCUGUAGGUGGAUUUUUAAGUUUGCCGUCAAAUCCCAGGGCUCAACCCUUGAUAAGCGGUGGAAAAUACCAAGCUGGAGUAUGGUAGGGGCAGAGGGAAUUUCUGGUGGAGCGAUGAAAUACGUAGAGAUCGGAAAGAACACCAAUGGCGAAAGCACUCUGCUGGGCUGACACUGACACUGAGAGACAAAAGCUAGGGGAGCGAAUGGGAUUAUAUACCCCAUUAGUCCUAGCCAAAAAUGAUGGAUACUAGGUACUAUGCAUAUCAACCCAUGUAGUGCUAUAGCUAAUCCGUUAAGUAUCCCUCCUGGGGAGUACGUUCGCAAGAAUGAAACNUGAAACUCAAAGGAAUUGACGGAGGCCCACACAAGCAGUGGAGUAUGUGGUUUAAUUCAAUGCAAAGAGAAGAACCUUACCAGGGCUUGACAUGCCACGAAUCCUCUUAAAAGAGAGGUGUGCCUUCGGGAACGCGGACAUAGGUGGUGCAUGGCUGUCGUCAGCUCGUAUCAUAAGGUGUUGGGUUAAGUCCCGCAAUGAGUGCAACCCUCGUAUUUAGUUGCCAUCAUUGAGUUUGGAACAUUGAACAGACUGCUGAUGAUAAGCCGAAAGAAGGUGACGAUGACAUCAAGUUAUCAUACCCCUUAUGCCUUGAGCGACACACGUGCUACAAUGGCCGGGACAAAGCGUCACAAUCCCACGAGGGUGAGCUAACCCUAAAAACACAUCCUCAAUUUGUAUUGCAGGCUGCAACUCGCCUGCAUAAAGUUGGAAUCGCUAGUAAUCGCCGGUCAGCCAUACGGGGAUAAAUUCAUUCCUGGGACUUGUACACAUCGCCCGUCACACUAUGGGAUCUGGCCAUACCUGAAGUCGUUACCUUAAAUACAAGGAGGGGAAUGUCGAAGGUAGGGCUAGUGACUGGAGUGAAGUCAUAACAAGGUAGCCGUACUGGAAGGUGUGGCUG